GAUAUCACAGUGAUGUCUGCAUUCAACCUGCUGCAUUUGGUGACAAAGAGCCAGCCAGUAGCCCUGCGAGCCUGUGGGCUUCCCUCAGGAAAACCCUUGGUUCCUGCAAAGUGAGCUACAGAAAGAAAAGAGAGAUUUUUGAGAGAGGGAGAAUGAAAAAGAGAGAAACAUCUUUGCCUAAAUGAUUUGCAAGCAUCUGUGCUUUAAGCUACUUUUUAUGAACACUCCUUAGUAAAUGACUCAAGGUAAAAAAGCAGAAAAGCAUCCAAUGUUAGGAAAUUGCAAUCCAAUACCAUGUAAUUUAAACCUGCAGUUGCUUCUCUUGUACUAAAUGACAUACAGAUGGGUAGCUUAGUUCUCUCAACUUUGGGAACACAAUUGGCCUUUUUGUAUGAAUGAACAUAUAUUAACAAAAAUAUUUUAGACAGACUUGUUUAAUUCUAAUUGUAUAGAUUUUAAUUAUCUAUGCCAUUGGAAAGAAUAAUUUUAACCAAGUUAUUUUGUCAUGUUAGAUUUUCAAUUAAUGAAUUUUGGGGGACAAAAUGCACAAAGAUACAACCCUUUCAACGUAUAAAGCAAUAAAAACAAAAAGUUACUUUUUAAGACGUCUAUAGCGAAUUGAGCAGAGACUCACCUAUCACAACCAGUUCUGCAUUUAAGUUGUGGAGAGGCUUGUUCUGACAGGACAAACAUUUCUCAGGGAAACAUUUCUAUCUCUUAGAAAAUAUUAAAAGUGUAAGUAGUAGGUAUUUGCAUAAAGCCUAGUGUAAUAUGGGGUUCAGUGAGAUGAGAGACCAACAUGCCAUUAGUGUGAUUUGCCAGCUGUUCCUGUGGACCUUUUCAGGCCAGAGCAGGGCCAACAUUCUUUGUGGAAGGUCAGAAGAGGCGCUAUUUGACAACCCACAGGCCUACUCAAAGGUGUGUUUUGUUGUUUGGCUCUGGUUUGCUCUUUUGCUGCCUCCAUAUUUUCUCAUAGAGAAUCAACCACUCUAUCUUGGUGGCCCUGAUUCUGGAAGCUGAUAUCCUUCUUCAAUCCCACAAUCAGAGUCAGUGGUUAGUUAAGUUUCUCCUGUUUUAAUUUCAGUGAUCUCAUAUACUAUGACAUUAGGUGCCUUAAAAGUAAAAGAAGUAGAAAGCAUUUCUAUUCCUAAAUCAUAUUUCUUAUAUGUUUCAAAACAAGUUGAGUUUAAUAUUUGGGGAACUAAGCAAGCUUUCUUUCAGUAAUUUCAUAACACGGUAGGAAAUUUUUGCAUGUGGUGACAUCUGCGUGCCUCUUUCGCACUGUGAUGGAAAAGCAAAGAAAAACAAUUUUACUGCAGUGAGUAAGGGUUGCCAUGUCUGGAGUUAUUGAUCAUCCCUUGGUACUCAUGGGGGAUUGGUUCCUGACCCUCUGCAGAUACCAAAAUCUGAGGAUGCUCAGGGCCCUUAUAUAAAAUGGCGUAGUAUUUACAUAUAACCUAUGCACAUCCUCCCUUAUACUUUAAAUCAUCUCUAGAUUACUUAUAAUAUCUAACACAAUGUAAAUGCUAUGUAAAUAGUUGCCUUAGCAUGGCAAAUUCAAGGUUUGCUUUUUGGAACUUUCUGGAAUUUUGGGGGGGGGGAAUAUUUUCCAUUGUGUUUGGUUGAAUCCAUAGAUGUGGAACCUGUGGAUACAGAGGGCCGACUGUAUUUCUUUUCAGUCAUUUGUUUAGGUAAGACAAAAUACCCCACAUAAGCGGGUAUUGUCUGGACAUUUUAUUGCAGUCUGUAUAAGUUGAAAUAAAAGCUAACAUUGUUAUUAGAAUCUAAUUAAAAUUAUUUUACCAUUCAAAUAUAUUUAGCCAGUGAAGUCUUUCUAAGUAUACUUUAUAAAAAGAAAAAUGUAUGUCUCUAAAUAAAAUCACAUUCACUUUUGCUUUUCUUUGUCUUUCCUCCCUCCCUAUUUUUCUCACUCUUACUUUGGAACUUCUUGAAUCUGCAUUAGUGUAAAUGCCUUCUCCUGCAGUCUAUUAAAAGUUUCUUGCUGCCCGUUUAAACAUGGUAAGAUACAGUCUUGCAAGAGAUAUUUGUUUUUAAGGACUCUUCAGAACCUAGUGAAGCCUCUGACAGAAUCACAGAGAAUAGCAAUUCCUAGCUGUGGAAAGAUACAUCUUUAGGGUUCAAUAAACAAAUAGGAUAGUAUUUAAAUCACCCAGGUUGGAAAUUGAAUGAGGAAGGUUUCAGGCUAUUCUACUAAACAAAUGGAGAGUUAUUGUUUAAUAUAAUAUGCCCAUCCUCUUAUAUAUACAGCAUAAAUGCUUAUAAAUAGAGUUAUGCUUUUUGAAUUCAUUUGAAAAAAAAAAUUCAAGGUACUGGGAGACGUGAAGGAGGUAUUCCCACCUUGUGAAUGUUCAAUCGGUUUUUACUGUCUCAUGCCAGCAACUUUGGCUACAGCACAUUGUCAAUGCUCCAGUGGAAUCACCUGAAUCUUGAGUACCAUUCUUUUUUAACUGAGAGAAAUAGCCAGCUGCAGUUCAGGUAAGUUUGUCUAGUGUGUUAGGGACUGGCCUGGUCAUUGACAAGUGACUGCAGAAGCUGUGCUGUGACAGCCAGCCAAAGCAGUUAUUUAGGAUUCAAGCUAAAAGUCCUCCUUCUCCCACAUCCUCUCUC